rnacentral:rRNA from 1 species
CCCCGGUAAACGGCGGCCGUAACUAUAACGGUCCUAAGGUAGCGAAAUUCCUUGUCGGGUAAGUUCCGACCUGCACGAAUGGCGUAAUGAUGGCCAGGCUGUCUCCACCCGAGACUCAGUGAAAUUGAACUCGCUGUGAAGAUGCAGUGUACCCGCGGCAAGACGGAAAGACCCCGUGAACCUUUACUAUAGCUUGACACUGAACAUUGAGCCUUGAUGUGUAGGAUAGGUGGGAGGCUUUGAAGUGUGGACGCCAGUCUGCAUGGAGCCGACCUUGAAAUACCACCCUUUAAUGUUUGAUGUUCUAACGUGGACCCGUAAUCCGGGUUGCGGACAGUGUCUGGUGGGUAGUUUGACUGGGGCGGUCUCCUCCUAAAGAGUAACGGAGGAGCACGAAGGUUGGCUAAUCCUGGUCGGACAUCAGGAGGUUAGUGCAAUGGCAUAAGCCAGCUUGACUGCGAGCGUGACGGCGCGAGCAGGUGCGAAAGCAGGUCAUAGUGAUCCGGUGGUUCUGAAUGGAAGGGCCAUCGCUCAACGGAUAAAAGGUACUCCGGGGAUAACAGGCUGAUACCGCCCAAGAGUUCAUAUCGACGGCGGUGUUUGGCACCUCGAUGUCGGCUCAUCACAUCCUGGGGCUGAAGUAGGUCCCAAGGGUAUGGCUGUUCGCCAUUUAAAGUGGUACGCGAGCUGGGUUUAGAACGUCGUGAGACAGUUCGGUCCCUAUCUGCCGUGGGCGCUGGAGAACUGAGGGGGGCUGCUCCUAGUACGAGAGGACCGGAGUGGACGCAUCACUGGUGUUCGGGUUGUCAUGCCAAUGGCACUGCCCGGUAGCUAAAUGCGGAAGAGAUAAGUGCUGAAAGCAUCUAAGCACGAAACUUGCCCCGAGAUGAGUUCUCCCUGACUCCUUGAGAGUCCUGAAGGAACGUUGAAGACGACGACGUUGAUAGGCCGGGUGUGUAAGCGCAGCGAUGCGUUGAGCUAACCGGUACUAAUGAACCGUGAGG